CAGCAGCCGCGGGAAUACAGAGGGUGCGAGCGUUAAUCGGAUUUACUGGGCGUAAAGCGUGCGUAAGCGGCUUUUUAAGUCGGAUGUGAAAUCCCUGAGCUUAACUUAGGAAUUGCAUUCGAUACUGGGAAGCUAGAGUAUGGGAGAGGAUGGUAGAAUUCCAGGUGUAGCGGUGAAAUGCGUAGAGAUCUGGAGGAAUACCGAUGGCGAAGGCAGCCAUCUGGCCUAAUACUGACGCUGAGGUACGAAAGCAUGGGGAGCAAACAGGAUUAGAUACCCCAGUAGUCCCUGUCUCUUAUAC
rnacentral:rRNA from 1 species